UACGAGGGGGGCAAGCGUUGUUCGGAAUUAUUGGGCGUAAAGGGUGCGUAGGCGGUUUGAUAAGUCACAUGUGAAAUCUUCGGGCUCAACCCGAAGUCUGCAUGCGAAACUGUCGGGCUUGAGUAUGGGAGAGGUGAGUGGAAUUUCCGGUGUAGCGGUGAAAUGCGUAGAUAUCAAGAGGAACACCUGCGGCGAAGGCGGGUUGCUGGGCCGACACUGACGCUGAUGCGCGAAAGCUAGGGGAGCGAACGGG
rnacentral:rRNA from 1 species